rfam:Tupaia chinensis contig219011, whole genome shotgun sequence.
GUGCUUGCUUAGGCAGCACAUAUACUAAAAUUGGAACAAUACAGAGAUUAGCAUGGCCCCUGUGCAGAGAUGACAUACAAAUUCAUGAAGCAUUCUAUAUUUCU